rnacentral:rasiRNA from 1 species
AACACAUCGAGCGACCGUGUUG